CUGCGGGGUCAUGCGAUUGUGGGCGUGGAAGGAGGAGACGAGGCGCAGGUGGUCCAGGAGAAGCGUCAGCGUGGCCUGAGAGAAGAAGGUCAGUAGUCAGGAUGACCAGACUUCACGCAUGGCCACCCAGGACUCCGAAGGUGAACAGGACAGAUGCUGCAUUACCUUUCCUGACCCAGCCUUGGGUGUCAUGUUGUGUCACUUCUGGAGCCAGAUUCAUAGACCCCACUCCUCUCAGUGGGCGAUGUGUCAAGUGCCCAGGGUGGACUUAAAAAGCUGAAGUCAGAUUCCAGCACGCCCCACCCCUGCUGUACAGUCUUCCCAUGACUGCUCAUCCUGCCUAGAAUAAAACCCAGAUUCCCAGUAAGAGUUCUAGCCUCAUUUCCUUUGUUGUCUCCAUUGCUCACCAUGACCUUCUCUCUGGUCCUCCUUUACAUCAAACUGUCCCAAUCCCUUUGCACAAGUAGUCCCCUCUGUGUGGGAAGACUUGGUUCCUCCGAAUUUGCUGCUUUCUCUUCUUCAGUUCUAAAAACACCUCCUUGGGAGGCCCUCCUUCAACACCCACCACUGUCCACUCACUAUUACCUCAUUGUAUUUCAUUUCUCUGAACACUGUCACAGCCUGAGCUUAAUAGCUCCAAUGCUUUGUUCUAGUUCAUCUGCUUAAUUGUCUAAUCUGGGACUCCACCAGAGGCUUGUCUGUUUUGUUCACUGCUGAAUGUCCAGGUGGGAGAUCAGGUGCCAGGUACCAGAGGUCUGGAUAGGAGGGGGUGGUGGCCAAGAGGUUUGCACAAGAGGAGGUCGUGAGUGUUUGCUUAUCAUGUGCCUCAGAGUGGAUGUCUGUGUUUGUCCUACUUGGAGUUUGUUGAGCUUCUUGGAUGUGUAGAUUCAUAUCUUUCAUCAACUCUGGGAGGUUGUUU